AGCAGCCGCGGUAAUUCCAGCUCCAAUAGCGUAUAUUAAAGUUGUUGCAGUUAAAAAGCUCGUAGUUGAAUUUCGGGGUCAGUAGAUUGGUCAUGCCACUGGUAUGUACUGGUCUCACUGAUUCCUCCUUCCUGAUGAGCCGUAAUGCCAUUAAUUUGGCGUUGCGAGGAAUCUGGACUGUUACUUUGAAAAAUUAGAGUGUUUAAAGCAGGCUAACGCUUGAAUACAUUAGCAUGGAAUAAUGAAAUAGGACGUUUGACCCUAUUUUGUUGGUUUCUAGGAUCGACGUAAUGAUUAAUAGGGAUAGUUGGGGGCAUUAGUAUUCAAUUGUCAGAGGUGAAAUUCUUGGAUUUAUUGAAGACUAACUACUGCGAAAGCAUUUGCCAAGGAUGUUUUCAUUAAUCAAGAACGAAAGUUAGGGGAUCGAAGACGAUCAGAUACCGUCGUAGUCUUAACCAUAAACUAUGCCGACUAGGGAUCGGAUGAUGUUAAUUUUAAUGA
rnacentral:rRNA from 1 species